AUUGACGUUACUUUGGCAACAGGUGGCGCAGUUAGCUAUAGGGUCGCAUUCUCAAAGAAAGCAACUCCAAACUCGUGUUGUUGUCAUGUUGCGAUUUCUGUUGGGUCAGACCCAUCUGCUAGCCAUGGGGGGCAGAGACUGAGAGCUACAGGGAAAAGUAUGCACCAAACAAGCCACUUUGAAAUUUAGCUGUUUUCAUGAAUACAAACGUUGGAUGAAGUGAAUGUAAUAAU